rnacentral:rRNA from 1 species
CAGCAGCCGCGGUAAUACGAAGGGCGCAAGCGUUACUCGGAAUCACUGGGCGUAAAGCGUGCGUAGGUGGUGGUUUAAGUCCGUCGUGAAAGCCCUGGGCUCAACCUGGGAAUUGCAGUGGAUACUGGAUCACUAGAGUGUGGUAGAGGAUAGUGGAAUUUCCGGUGUAGCAGUGAAAUGCGUAGAGAUCGGAAGGAACAUCUGUGGCGAAGGCGACUAUCUGGGCCAACACUGACACUGAGGCACGAAAGCGUGGGUAGCAAACAGGAUUAGAUACCCGUGUAGUCCCUGUCUCUUAUAC